UUACUUGGGAUCUUGUUAAAAUGCAGAUUAUAGAUAGGCUGGUCAGUGGGAUUCUGCAUUUCUAACAAGCUCCUGGGUGAUGC
rnacentral:miRNA from 1 species